rnacentral:rRNA from 1 species
GUGGGGAAUAUUGGACAAUGGGCGAAAGCCUGAUCCAGCCAUGCCGCGUGUGUGAAGAAGGUCUUCGGAUUGUAAAGCACUUUAAGUUGGGAGGAAGGGCAGUAAGUUAAUACCUUGCUGUUUUGACGUUACCGACAGAAUAAGCACCGGCUAACUUCGUGCCAGCAGCCGCGGUAAUACGAAGGGUGCAAGCGUUAAUCGGAAUUACUGGGCGUAAAGCGCGCGUAGGUGGUUUUGUAAGUUGGAGGUGAAAUCCCCGUGCUCAACCUGGGAACUGCCUCCAAAACUGCAUGACUAGAGUACGGUAGAGGGUAGUGGAAUUUCCUGUGUAGCGGUGAAAUGCGUAGAUAUAGGAAGGAACACCAGUGGCGAAGGCGACUACCUGGACUGAUACUGACACUGAGGUGCGAAAGCGUGGGGAGCAAACAGGAUUAGAAAACCCAGUAGUCC